UUUGUGGAGAGUUUGAUCCUAGCUCAGAGCGAACGCUGGCGGCGUAGUUUAGACAUGCAAGUCGAACGGUAAGAUUUCUUCGGAAAUCGAGAGUGGCGAACGGGUGCGUAGCACGCGAAUAACCUGCCCCCUAGUUUGGAAUAGCCCACCGAAAGGUGGAUUAAUGCCGGAUGUGCUUGGGAGUCGCAUGACUCCGAUAGGAAAGCUUGGAAUGGCGCUAGGGGAGGGGUUCACGGCCUAUCAGCUUGUUGGCGGGAUAACAGCCCACCAAGGCUAAGACGGGUAGCUGGUCUGAGAGGAUGAUCAGCCACACUGGGACUGAGACACGGCCCAGACACCUACGGGUGGCAGCAGUUUCGAAUUAUUCACAAUGGACGCAAGUCUGAUGGUGUAACGCCGCGUGAGGGAUGAAGGUCCUUGGAUUGUAAACCUCUGUCGUUGGGGAGCAAUUGUCGGGUUUAUAGCCCGGCUUGAGUUAACCCAAAAAGGAAGCAGUGGCUAACUCUGUGCCAGCAGCCGCGGUAAUACAGAGACUGCAAGCGUUGCUCGGAAUUACUGGGCGUAAAGGGUGCGCAGGCGGCCGGAUGUGUCAGAUGUGAAAACUCAGGGCUCAACCCUGAACGUGCAUUUGAAACUGUUCGGCUAGAGUGUUGAAGGGGUAAGCGGAAUUCCGCGUGUAGCAGUGAAAUGCGUAGAUAUGCGGAGGAACGCCAAAGGCGAAGGCAGCUUACUGGGAAACAACUGACGCUCAUGCACGAAAGCGUGGGGAGCGAAAGGGAUUAGAUACCCCUGUAGUCCACGCCGUAAACGUUGCACACUAGGUCUUGGGAGAUUCGACCCUUUCAGGAUCCAAGCUAACGCGAUAAGUGUGCCGCCUGAGGACUACGGUCGCAAGACUAAAACUCAAAGGAAUUGACGGGGGCCCGCACAAGCGGUGGAGCAUGUGGCUUAAUUCGAUGAAACGCGAAGAACCUUACCUAGGCUUGACAUGCGCCGGAAGGUCCAAUGAAAGUUGGGCUGCCCUUCGGGGCCGGCGUGCAGGUGCUGCAUGGCUGUCGUCAGCUCGUGUCGUGAGAUGUUCGGUUAAGUCCGGUAACGAGCGCAACCCUUGUCCCUAGUUGCCAGCGCGUCAUGGCGGGAACUUUAGGGAGACAACCUCCUAUGGAGGGGGAAGGUGGGGAUGACGUCAAGUCAGUAUGGCCCUUAUGCCUAGGGCUGCACACGUGCUACAAUGCCCAGCACAAUGAGACGCAAUUCCGCGAGGAGGAGCAAAUCUAUAAAACUGGGCCCAGUUCGGAUUGGAGUCUGCAAUUCGACUCCAUGAAGCCGGAAUCGCUAGUAAUGGCGCAUCAGCUACGGCGCCGUGAAUACGUUCCCGGGCCUUGUACACACCGCCCGUCACGUCAUGAAAGUCGGUUGUGCCCGAAGUGCGUGCGCUAUCCGUAAGGGGGCAGCGCCCUAAGGCAUGGUUGGCGAUUGGGACGAAGUCGUAACAAGGUAGCCGUAGGGGAACCUGCGGCUGGAUCACCUCCUUU
rnacentral:rRNA from 1 species